rnacentral:tRNA from 1 species
GGGGAUGUAGCUCAGUUGGUUAGAGCGCCGGCCUGUCACGCCGGAGGUCGCGAGUUCGAGUCUCGUCAUCCCCG